UCAACUAUCAAGCCUGGCUUGUUAUUGGGUCUUUUAUUGUUAAGACGAUAGGCCCGAAAGAUAAUGGCGGUGUCAAGAUUGACCCCAGGUGCGAUGAGCUUUUUAGCAUGCGCUGAGGUGGUCAUCUUGGCCUGGCCUAGUUAAAUCUUUUAACUAUAA
rnacentral:misc_RNA from 1 species